rnacentral:rRNA from 1 species
UACGAAGGGGGCGAGCGUUGUUCGGAUUUACUGGGCGUAAAGGGCGCGCAGGCGGCUUAUUUUGUCAGGCGUGAAAGCCCCGGGCUUAACCUGGGAACUGCGUUUGAUACGGAUGGGCUAGAGUUCGGGAGAGGAGCGUGGAAUUCCCAGUGUAGAGGUGAAACUCGUAGAUAUUGGGAAGAACACCGGUGGCGAAGGCGGCGCUCUGGACCGAUAUUGACGCUGAGGAGCGAAAGCGUGGGGAGCGAACAGG